rnacentral:rRNA from 1 species
AAGUCUGAUGGAGCAACGCCGCGUGAGUGAUGAAGGGUUUCGGCUCGUAAAACUCUGUUGUUGGAGAAGAACAGGUGUGAGAGUAACUGUUCACAUCUUGACGGUAUCCAACCAGAAAGCCACGGCUAACUACGUGCCAGCAGCCGCGGUAAUACGUAGGUGGCAAGCGUUGUCCGGAUUUAUUGGGCGUAAAGCGAGCGCAGGCGGUUUUUUAGGUCUGAUGUGAAAGCCUUCGGCUUAACCGGAGAAGUGCAUCGGAAACCGGGAGACUUGAGUGCAGAAGAGGACAGUGGAACUCCAUGUGUAGCGGUGAAAUGCGUAGAUAUAUGGAAGAACACCAGUGGCGAAGGCGGCUGUCUGGUCUGUAACUGACGCUGAGGCUCGAAAGCAUGGGUAGCGAACAGGAUUAGAUACCCUGGUAGUCCAUGCCGUAAACGAUGAGUGCUAAGUGUUGGAGGGUUUCCGCCCUUCAGUGCUGCAGCUAACGCAUUUAGCACUCCGCCUGGGGAGUACGACCGCAAGGUUGAAACUCAAAGGAAUUGACGGGGGCCCGCACAAGCGGUGGAGCAUGUGGUUUAAUUCGAUGCUACGCGAAGAACCUUACCAGGUCUUGACAUCUUCUGCCAACCUAAG